rnacentral:rRNA from 1 species
AACGUAGGAGGCGAGCGUUAUCCGGAUUUACUGGGCGUAAAGCGCGCGCAGGUGGCCUUGCAAGUCGGACGUGAAAUCUCCUGGCUCAACUGGGAGGGGCCGUUCGAUACUGUGAGGCUUGAGGGCGGGAGAGGGAAGCGGAAUUCCCGGUGUAGCGGUGGAAUGCGCAGAUAUCGGGAGGAACACCAGUGGCGAAGGCGGCUUCCUGGCCCGUUCCUGACGCUCAAGCGCGAAAGCGUGGGGAGCGAACGGG